AUGCUAGUGAAAGACUCUCGAUCUGCCAGGAUUCUUUCUGGAUACUUAACCAUGAAUUUUACGUCUCUGCAGCAGCUAACUUCAGCCCAAAAUAUCCCUGGGCAGGCUGAAGGAAUUAAAACCAGUCGAUAUUUCAUGGGCUCAUUCCAGCUGGUGAAUGAAAUCUACUAUUCCCGUCACAGCAACUCUGCUUCGGACACAUUCAAGAGGGAGGCUGCGAAGCUGGAGAACGUGGGCUUUGUCGGUAAAUAAAAGGCUAAUAAGAGGCAGGAAAAGUCCAAGUCUCAACUUCGUUUCCCAAAGACACUGAUCCUUCUCACAGUGCUGCUGGGAGGAGCAUCAGCAGAAAUCCCCCGUUAUGUACCUGUUCAUAGCGUCUGAUCUGGCAAGGAUCGAAGGUAAGAGACAGGUUUCUAGAUGGGGUAACUCAGGCCCCUAGAAGGGACAGGGGAGAUAAAGCCAAACAUUGGAUUCUCCACUGAACGUAGGUGGGCUCAGGUGACCAGGUCUCUGACACCUCGUGUGUCAAGCCAUGAGGUGGGGUCCGGACAGAACUUCCCUGCUGGCGUGUCACAGAAUUAGGUGCCUCGUGUGUGUUUUACAUCUUCCCCUCCGGCACCCAAAGCUGGCCGCUGUCAGAGAGCAGACCUGAGUCCGAGCACCCCUCGAAAGCGGGGAGGUUUGGAUCCAGUUUGGACCCAUCACUAAAGACAGGGAUAAGGACCCUUCCGCCGCCCCCUCCCCCAUGGGGGGUUGUGAGGCUCAGCUCCGCUGUGUUUGUAGACGGGAUUGCAGGCCCGGCGGAGGCACCGAGCAGGAUUAAUUUCUUGAAUGGGUGUCAAGUUCUCUAUGAGCUUAGUUCUGCAACCAGCAUAGGUGAUGCCUGCAAGUGACAGUAAUAAACAGGGAUGCUGGAAAAUGGGUCUGAAAUGA
rnacentral:lncRNA from 1 species